rnacentral:rRNA from 1 species
GACAGAGGGCGCGAGCGUUGUUCGGAAUCACUGGGCGUAAAGCGCGCGCAGGCGGACCAGGCAAGUCUGGAGUGAAAUCUCGCCGCUCAACGGCGAGGCUGCUUUGGAAACUGCGGGUCUGGAGACCGGUAGAGGCUGGUAGAAUUGCAGGUGUAGCGGUGGAAUGCGUAGAGAUCUGCAAGAAUACCCGUGGCGAAGGCGGCCAGCUGGGCCGGUUCUGACGCUGAGGUGCGAAAGCGUGGGGAGCAAACAGG